GUUUAUCACACUGAGCUAUAGGGCCCUGCUUCCUGGAAGGUGCUUUGGAGAACAACAUACCAGCACUGGCAGAAGCAGAAAUUGUUGCAGACCUAGGCUGUAUUUUCUGCAAUCUCUUUCUGCGGUGAUUUUCACCUAGUUCAGUGUGUGUGGUGGCUGCCAAAGGACUGGUGCUGGCACCAAGAGGGAGCCCGUGGGAAGACUUGGGUUUACCAGACGAACAUUUGUGGCUGAAGAUGUGGGAUAGAGGCUCGUUGCCAUUAAUUACGGAUGGCAACGUGGGUUCAGCUGUCUCUUCUGAAGCAGCUCAUGAAGUUGGGCACAUUUCUCCUAUCAGCUCAUCACGGACUCUCAGCUGGGAGAAAUGAAAACCCUUCUGCUAACUAUUACUUUAAAAUGGAUUUCUACACAACUGAAAAAUGCUGCUGUCAGUUCCUCACCAGCAGCCUCUGAAAAUCCCAGGGGUCCCCAGACAGAGGCCCUCCUUGACACCCUUACACAAUCUCUCCUGGUCAGUGCUGAGGAGCAUCACAGAGGAAGCACUUCCUGUCUUCCCUGGAAAUGUAUGCAUCAUCCGUGAUCCCUGUGCUGGUGUUGGCCUGGUAGCUUUCAUUUACAGCUGAAUUAAUUUCAAAGAUGGCAGUGGAAAAAAGGAGAGCAUGAGCUGCUGGGCCUUUUCUGUCCUGCAGCCUCCAAAGGAUGCUGUCUAACCUAUCUCUGGGCUCAAGAGCUUGGCCUCAUCCUCACUGGAGUGAUAACCAAAACCACCAAGAACUUCCUCCAUAUGCCUUCAAUCUGCAGCUUUUGCUAUUGUUCAGUGCGCACAGAAAGCUGUGAGAGGGUAAAAGAUGCACCUACUUUCUCUUCUAAAAUGAAGGGAAAUGGCCCGAAGGUACUGAACUGCGGAGCAGUACGCUUUGUUUUCUUCUUGCUUGAAGUCUUGGUUCAGAGAGGGGUUUGUUUAAUGCUCGUUACUUCACUUUGUGGUUUAAAAACAACAAAUUAAAAAAAAAAAACCAAAACAAGAACAAAUCCUGAGCAAGAGGCAGCUGAGUGGGUAACCCACACAUCAGGCAGGUUGUCAUGGGUUUAUUCUGAGUUGUAGCUGAGAUCUGAAUGUCUUGCUCCCACCAGAGAGCACCAGGCAUGGCCAGCGUGCCACAGCUGGGCCUCACCAACCAGAUGUGUUUGCUGUGACAUUUGCUGGCACCUACAUGGAACAGUGCAUUGAGAAACCAACCACAGGCCUCACACCACUCAAGCAUGAGCAACCUUACUCCACAGGAGAGAAGGACUGACAUACGGAGUGAAGGACGGCGGCAAGUUGUGCUGCCUCACCGUGGUGUCCCCUAGGCACCAAUAUCCCUGUGUCUUGCCUGGUUAGGGGCAAAGACAGGAAAAUAAGGUCCCUCUGUGCUGGAAGGACAGCAUAUCAGCAUCAGGGUUUCUAGACUGGCUUGCAAAAAUGAACACUGCAGGAAAAA